GGAGGUGCUCCUCAUAAUUUUUGCUUUGAGAAUAUUUAUUCUUUGAUUUACCCGACCACUGCUGUGACCACUGAUACUCACUGAUUCACCAAACAUGGGGUAAAUAAUUAUCUUACUUGUUUUUUAUUAACUUUUCUUAAAUGUGUGUAUAGCUCAAAUUUAUUUCAAUGUUUAAUAUUAGAAGUGCUUGGUGUCUUUAGAAAUUGAAGAUGCUAUUUUUGUGACUAGAAAUAUGCCAUAGAAACUUAACUCUUCUUUAAAUUAGCCUAUGGUAAAAUUUGUUUCAUUAUGUUAUUUUGCUUGAAGUCACAGUUUCCAAGAACCUAUCAAUGACAUUAUGUGAGGAUUUACUGGACAUAAUCUCACAGGGCCAACUCUCCUAAACUCCACUCAAAUUUUCUGACUCUGUGAGUUUUGCAGAUUGUCUGUGAAUUUUGUGGUGAAUAUAUAUAUCUGCCUCCUCUAUCCCCCAUUAUUAAUUGGUAUCAGGGUUUUCCUUGGAAAAAAUAAAGUUGCCUUGUAA
rnacentral:lncRNA from 1 species